rnacentral:rRNA from 1 species
GAUGAACGCUGGCGGCGUGCCUAAUACAUGCAAGUCGAGCGAACAGACGAGGAGCUUGCUCCUCUGACGUUAGCGGCGGACGGGUGAGUAACACGUGGAUAACCUACCUAUAAGACUGGGAUAACUUCGGGAAACCGGAGCUAAUACCGGAUAAUAUAUUGAACCGCAUGGUUCAAUAGUGAAAGACGGUUUUGCUGUCACUUAUAGAUGGAUCCGCGCCGCAUUAGCUAGUUGGUAAGGUAACGGCUUACCAAGGCAACGAUGCGUAGCCGACCUGAGAGGGUGACCGGCCACACUGGAACUGAGACACGGUCCAGACUCCUACGGGAGGCAGCAGUAGGGAAUCUGCCGCAAGGGGCGAAAGCCUGACGGAGCAACGCCGCGUGAGUGAUGAAGGUCUUCGGAUCGUAAAACUCUGUUAUUAGGGAAGAACAAAUGUGUAAGUAACUAUGCACGUCUUGACGGUACCUAAUCAGAAAGCCACGGCUAACUACG